UCUAAAAUGGCAGAUAAGUGCACUAGAUUUAAGAUCUAGACAUAAAGGUUUAAGCCCUUUUUUUAGAA
rnacentral:tRNA from 1 species